UACGGGGGGAGCAAGCGUUGUUCGGAUUUACUGGGCGUAAAGGGCGCGUAGGCGGUCAGCACAAGUCAGUUGUGAAAUCUCCGGGCUUAACUCGGAAAGGUCAACUGAUACUGUGCGACUAGAGUGCAGAAGGGGCAACUGGAAUUCUCGGGUGUAGCGGUGAAAUGCGUAGAUAUCGAGAGGAACACCUGCGGCGAAGGCGGGUUGCUGGGCUGACACUGACGCUGAUGCGCGAAAGCCAGGGGAGCGAACGGG
rnacentral:rRNA from 1 species